rnacentral:rRNA from 1 species
AUUGAACGCUGGUGGCAGGCUUAACACAUGCAAGUCGAGCGGGGGAGGUUGCUUCGGUAACUGACCUAGCGGCGGACGGGUGUGUAAUGCUUAGGAAUCUGCCUAUUAGUGGGGGACAACAUUCCGAAAGGGAUGCUAAUACCGCAUACGCCCUACGGGGGAAAGCAGGCGAUCUUCGGACCUUGCGCUAAUAGAUGAGCCUAAGUCGGAUUAGCUAGUUGGUGGGGUAAAGGCCUACCAAGGCGACGAUCUGUAGCGGGUCUGAGAGGAUGAUCCGCCACACUGGGACUGAGACACGGCCCAGACUCCUACGGGAGGCAGCAGUGAGGAAUAUUGGACAAUGGGCGGAAGCCUGAUCCAGCCAUGCCGCGUGUGUGAAGAAGGCCUUUUGGUUGUAAAGCACUUUAAGCGAGGAGGAGGCUACUAGUACUAAUACUACUGGAUAGUGGACGUUACUCGCAGAAUAAGCACCGGCUAACUCUGUGCCAGCCGCCGCCGUAACAC